rnacentral:lncRNA from 1 species
ACGUGAUGUGCCUUCUCUGUGCCUUUUCCUUAAAUAAAGGGCAUUCCUGUUUCCAAGGCAGAAAUAUCACAAGGAGGCUGAUGCUGCACAGCAGUCGACCCGGGGAGCCUUUCUGAGCAUCUCUGCUUCCGAUGCUGAGGAAAACCAGGAUGUGCAAGUAGCCCCUCUUUUCAUUCAAACCUGGAUCAGUUGCCUGAAUUUUUUCAUCUUACCGCUGCUUUGGCAUCAGCACGUUUCUUCUACUACACCUCAGUCAAGAGUCAAACCUUGACCGCUGUGAGACUACUGAGGAAUCGGUAUACUGCAACGUUUUGUCCUGUUUCAUCCUGGCAGUGGCCACUUCUGCGUGAAGCGUGAGGCCGUCCAUCUCACCGGGAUCUAGUGCAGCCGCCUUGUUUGAAAAAGAGA